GCCUGGCUGGCUCAGUCGGUGGAGCAUGUGACUCUUGAUCUCGGGGUUAUGGGUUCAAGCCCCACACUGGGUG
rfam:Felis catus isolate Cinnamon breed Abyssinian chromosome D2, whole genome shotgun sequence.